rnacentral:rRNA from 1 species
CUACGGGAGGCAGCAGUAGGGAAUAUUGGACAAUGGGCGCAAGCCUGAUCCAGCCAUGCCGCGUGAGUGAAGAAGGCCCUCGGGUUGUAAAGCUCUUUUGUUGGGGAAGAAAAGCAGUUGGUUAAUACCCGAUUGUUCUGACGGUACCCAAAGAAUAAGCACCGGCUAACUUCGUGCCAGCAGCCGCGGUAAUACGAAGGGUGCAAGCGUUACUCGGAAUUACUGGGCGUAAAGCGUGCGUAGGUGGUUGUUUAAGUCUGAUGUGAAAGCCCUGGGCUCAACCUGGGAAUGGCAUUGGAUACUGGAUAGCUAGAGUGCGGUAGAGGGUAGUGGAAUUCCCGGUGUAGCAGUGAAAUGCGUAGAGAUCGGGAGGAACAUCCGUGGCGAAGGCGACUACCUGGGCCAGCACUGACACUGAGGCACGAAAGCGUGGGGAGCAAACAGGAUUAGAUACCCUGGUAGUCCACGCCCUAAACGAUGCGAACUGGAUGUUGGGCUCAACUUGGAGCUCAGUAUCGAAGCUAACGCGUUAAGUUCGCCGCCUGGGGAGUACGGUCGCAAGACUGAAACUCAAAGGAAUUGACGG